rnacentral:rRNA from 1 species
AUGGAACGCUGGCGGCAUGCCUUACACAUGCAAGUCGAACGGCAGCACGGGAGCAAUCCUGGUGGCGAGUGGCGAACGGGUGAGUAAAGUAUCGGAACGUGCCCAGUCGUGGGGGAUAACGUAGCGAAAGUUACGCUAAUACCGCAUACGAUCUAUGGAUGAAAGCGGGGGAUCGCAAGACCUCGCGCGAUUGGAGCGGCCGAUAUCAGAUUAGGUAGUUGGUGGGGUAAAGGCUCACCAAGCCGACGAUCUGUAGCUGGUCUGAGAGGACGACCAGCCACACUGGGACUGAGACACGGCCCAGCCUCCUACGGGAGGCAGCAGUGGGGAAUUUUGGACAAUGGGCGAAAGCCUGAUCCAGCCGUGCCGCGUGCAGUAUGAAGGCCUUCGGGUUGUAAACUGCUUUUGUACGGAACGAAAAGGUUUGGCCUAAUAAGCUGAGCUCAUGACGGUACCGUAAGAAUAAGCACCGGCUAACUACGUGCCAGCCGCCGCGGUAA